rnacentral:rRNA from 1 species
UUGAACGCUGGCGGUAUGCUUAACACAUGCAAGUCGAACGGAAACGAUACUAGCUUGCUAGUAGGCGUCGAGUGGCGGACGGGUGAGUAACGCGUAGGAAUCUGCCUGAUAGUGGGGGAUAGCCCGAAGAAAUUCGGAUUAAUACCGCAUAAUCUAUUCGUAGUAAAGUGGGGGACUUUCGAGCCUCACGCUAUCAGAUGAGCCUGCGUAAGAUUAGCUUGUUGGUAGGGUAAAAGCCUACCAAGGCGACGAUCUUUAGCUGGUCUGAGAGGAUGAUCAGCCACAUCGGGACUGAGACACGGCCCGAACUCCUACGGGAGGCAGCAGUGGGGAAUAUUGGACAAUGGGGGCAACCCUGAUCCAGCAAUACCGCGUGUGUGAAGAAGGCCUGAGGGUUGUAAAGCACUUUCAAUUGUGAAGAAAAGUUAGCGGUUAAUAACCGUUAGCCUUGACGUUAACUUUAGAAGAAGCACCGGCUAACUCCGUGCCAGCAGCCGCGGUAAUACGGAGGGUGCAAGCGUUAAUCGGAAAUUACUGGGCGUAAAGCGUGCGUAGGCGGUUUAUUAAGUCAGAUGUGAAAGCCCCGGGCUUAACCUGGGAACUGCAUUUGAAACUGGUCAACUAGAGUAUGGUAGAGGAAAGUGGAAUUUCUGGUGUAGCGGUGAAAUGCGUAGAUAUCAGAAGGAACAUCAAUGGCGAAGGCAGCUUUCUGGACCAAUACUGACGCUGAGGUACGAAAGCGUGGGUAGCAAACAGGAUUAGAUACCCUGGUAGUCCACGCCGUAAACGAUGAUAACUAGCCGUUGGGGGGAUUUACCCUUUAGUGGCGAAGCUAACGCGUUAAGUUAUCCGCCUGGGGAGUACGGCCGCAAGGUUAAAACUCAAAGGAAUUGACGGGGACCCGCACAAGCGGUGGAGCAUGUGGUUUAAUUCGAUGCAACGCGAAGAACCUUACCUGGUCUUGACAUCCUGCGAACUUUCUAGAAAUAGAUUGGUGCCUUCGGGAACGCAGUGACAGGUGCUGCAUGGCUGUCGUCAGCUCGUGUCGUGAGAUGUUGGGUUAAGUCCCGUAACGAGCGCAACCCCUAUCCUUAUUUGCCAGCACAUCAUGGUGGGAACUAUAAGGAGACUGCCGGUGAUAAACCGGAGGAAGGCGGGGACGACGUCAAGUCAUCAUGGCCCUUACGACCAGGGCUACACACGUGCUACAAUGGGAAGGACAAAGAGCCGCGAAGCCGCGAGGUGUAGCUAAUCUCAUAAACCUUUUCGUAGUCCGGAUUGGAGUCUGCAACUCGACUCCAUGAAGUCGGAAUCGCUAGUAAUCGUAGAUCAGAAUGCUACGGUGAAUACGUUCCCGGGUCUUGUACUCACCGC